CCGAGCAGGAUGAAAAAAUAACCCGAGCGAGACCGAGUGAAGAGGUGCAACGAGAGAGGAUGUGUCACAAGCAUGGACUCCGGCUGCGGAUCCCAGGCGCCUCCCUCCGCCCCUCUGCACAGGGUGCCCCGUGCCGCCCGUGGUAGCCGGCGCUGUGCCCGGGGCGCACCGGGAGGAGGGACCAGCAUCCGAUGCCCGGGCGCAGAU